rnacentral:rRNA from 1 species
AGGUAGUAAAAAUUUUAAUUUAAACCUAUAUAGAUUGGCGGCAUUAUUAUUCCUAGAGGAACUUGUUUCAUAAUCGAUAAUCCACGAUAACUUUUACUUAAAUUAAUAAUUUAUAUACCGCCGUCUAAGAAUUAGUUUAAAAAUAUUAUUCUUAAUAAAUUUAUAAAAUGUUAGGUAAAGGUGUAGUCAAUAUUUAAGAGAAAAUGAGUUACUUUAAAAACAAUUUAAGGAUUUUUUAAUAAAUUUUCUUUUGAAAAAGGAUUUAGAAGUAUAAUUAAAAUAAUAUUUUAAUCAGAAAAAAAUUAAUAAUGUGC